UAAAAUGGUGUUUGUGUGUAUACAUAUUUAUGUACCAAUAGGAGUGAGACGUUUCCAUCCGCAACAAUGGUUGCAUGAUAUAAAUGCUCAAAACAAAUGUUCAUGUGAGACGAAGUGGAUGGAUCUCCUCACCACAGGAACUGAGACAAAAUGGGGUCUGUUUACUCCACAAAACCCUAACCCUAACCCUAAUCUCACUCCCCUCCCUUGCUCUCACUCCAGCUCUCCUUUUGCUUCUGUUUUGUAGAACAUGGUCCAUCUCUCAUCUAUUGGGGUCUAAUCUGAAACUCAACAUCCCACGCUGCCUUUACCUUUUUUUCCCACAAAAGUAGUGCUUGAUGUUGAUGUUGAUAACACCCAAAAGCUUUGCCUGUCCCUUAGUCUAAUGGAAUCCUUCAAAGGGGAUUUUAUUGUUUAUGUAUAUACAAUUGUACAUAUAUGUAAGUAAUUGAUAUUGUUAAUAAACCUGAAUUGAACACUGUACUUGGAGAAAAUAAUCACGUAUGCAAUUUUGAGCUCCAUUUGGACAGAAAUAUUCAAUUCCAAGAUAGUUUCAAGCAUUACAGUAAAUUUUAUUGAUUUAUUUUCCUGCAUUUGUAUGUGCACACAUGUGAAUGAAAUCCUUUAAAGCCACACCAUGCUCACAAUAAGUUACAUAACUUCCUUUGGAGAUGCAAAAUUUUGAUAGGAUAGAUAGAUAGGGGAAUGUUAAAUAGACCAAUAGUUUGACUAAAUAGACCCACCUUUGAUGAAGAAUAUGGUAAUUACAACAAAUGUGGUUGGUUUUUAUUAGUUGCAGAUCCGAUAAUGGGGAAAUGAAUCAUUGUUUUUUUUCAUGAAGGAUAGGAUGGGUGGGUCAAUUUUGUAAAAAAUUGGGUCUAUUUUAUAUAUAUAUAUAUAUAUAUAACACAUGUUUGAAAGAAAUAAGAAAAUGGAUUGUUGAUAGUUAUGUGAAAUCAUCAUUAAACCAUCCUACUUAAUUUGUAACUUAUUUCAAUGCUUAUCCAAUGUUAAUAUCUAAUAAUUCCAUUUUUUAAAAAUCACUUUACAAAAUGGUUUUCAGAUUCUAUUUUUAUUCCAAUAUUUUAUACAGAUUUUUUAUUAACUAUUAAUGAAAAAUCCUUUAAAUCAUAAACACACACACACACACACAUAUAUAUAUAUAUAUAUAUAUAUAUAUAUUAGUAUGCAAGAUGUAAUAGCAUGUUGUUACAUUUACCUAAGUAAACCACUUGAUUUUGAUAUUGAUUUUGUUUAAUUUUUCUAUUGAUUUCCUUCAUAAAUAUUUGUAAAUCUUCAUUCAAAAUACGCACAUAUUAAUUUUAAACAUAAUUUUAAAACAUAGUCAAUCUUCCAUAUAUAUAUAUAUAUAUAUAUAUAUCAAAAAUCAUCAUUUGCUUCAAUGCUGGUUUUUCAACAAUGACUUGAAAAAUCAUUAC
rnacentral:lncRNA from 1 species